GAGAUGUAGCUCAGUGGCAGAACUCUUGCCUAAUAUGUAUGAGGUCCUGGGUUCAAUCCCCAGUAUUGGGCA
rnacentral:tRNA from 1 species